GAUGAACGCUGGCGGCGUGCCUAAUACAUGCAAGUCGAGCGAACGGACGAGAAGCUUGCUUCUCUGAUGUUAGCGGCGGACGGGUGAGUAACACGUGGAUAACCUACCUAUAAGACUGGGAUAACUUCGGGAAACCGGAGCUAAUACCGGAUAAUAUUUUGAACCGCAUGGUUCAAAAGUGAAAGAAGGUCUUGCUGUCACUUAUAGAUGGAACCGCGCUGCAUUAGCUAGUUGGUAAGGUAACGGCUUACCAAGGCAACGAUGCAUAGCCGACCUGGGAGGGUGAUCGGCCACACUGGAACUGAGACACGGUCCAGACUCCUACGGGAGGCAGCAGUAGGGAAUUUUCCGCAAUGGGCGAAAGCCUGACGGAGCAACGCCGCGUGAGUGAUGAAGGUCUUCGGAUCGUAAAACUCUGUUAUUAGGAAAGAACAGAUGUGUAAGUAACUGUGCACAUCUUGACGGUACCUAAUCAGAAAGCCACGGCUAACUACGUG
rnacentral:rRNA from 1 species